rnacentral:rRNA from 1 species
GGCCAGACUCCUACGGGAGGCAGCAGUGAGGAAUAUUGGUCAAUGGCCGCAGGGCUGAACCAGCCAAGUCGCGUGAGGGAUGACGGUCCUAUGGAUUGUAAACCUCUUUUGUCAGGGAGCAAAGGGCGCCACGUGUGGCGUUUUGCGAGUACCUGAAGAAAAAGCAUCGGCUAACUCCGUGCCAGCAGCCGCGGUAAUACGGAGGAUGCGAGCGUUAUCCGGAUUUAUUGGGUUUAAAGGGUGCGCAGGCGGAAUGUAAAGUCAGCGGUCAAAUGUCGGGGCUCAACCCCGGCCUGCCGUUGAAACUGGCGGCCUCGAGUGGGUGAGAAGUAUGCGGAAUGCGUGGUGUAGCGGUGAAAUGCAUAGAUAUCACGCAGAACUCCGAUUGCGAAGGCAGCGUACCGGCGCCCAACUGACGCUGAAGCACGAAGGCGUGGGUAUCGAACAGGAUUAGAUACCCCUGUAAA